GAUGAAGAACGUAGUGAAAUGCGAUAAGUAGUGUGAAUUGCAGAAUUCCGUGAAUCAUCGAAUCUUUGAACGCACAUUGCGCCUUCUGGUAUUCCGGAAGGCAUGCCUGUUCGAGAGUCAUUAACAACCGUUUCGAUCCCUUUCUUUCAGAAAUUACAAAGAGGAAAAGGGUUUGGUUAUGGUGGAGGAGGGAAAGGGAGCGUUUAGCCUGUAAAAAAAGAGGCUGUGUUCCGCCUCCCCCCCAAAAUUGUACAGGCGGUCGUGUGCGCCCACGCAUCGAGGUGUUGUAAAAGCUGCCACGGCACUUUUCACCUGUGCAGUGCGGGAUUGGCCAGCCGGUUUAAAAACCCCUCCAAACAAUCAAAGGUUGACCUCGGAUCAGGUAGGGAUACCCGCUGAACUUAAGCAUAUCAAUAAGCGGAGGA
rnacentral:misc_RNA from 1 species